rnacentral:rRNA from 1 species
AUUGAACGCUGGCGGCAUGCUUUACACAUGCAAGUCGAACGGUAGCAGGCCGCAAGGUGCUGACGAGUGGCGAACGGGUGAGUAAUGCAUCGGAACGUGCCCAGUCGUGGGGGAUAACGCAGCGAAAGCUGCGCUAAUACCGCAUACGAUCUAUGGAUGAAAGCGGGGGACCGUAAGGCCUCGCGCGAUUGGAGCGGCCGAUGUCAGAUUAGGUAGUUGGUGGGGUAAAGGCUCACCAAGCCAACGAUCUGUAGCUGGUCUGAGAGGACGACCAGCCACACUGGGACCGAGACACGGCCCAGACGCCUACGGGAGGCAGCAGUGGGGAAUUUUGGACAAUGGGCGCAAGCCUGAUCCAGCAAUGCCGCGUGCAGGAAGAAGGCCUUCGGGUUGUAAACUGCUUUUGUACGGAACGAAAAGACUCUUUCUAAUAAAGAGGGUCCAUGACGGUACCGUAAGAAUAAGCACCGGCUAACUACGUGCCAGCAGCCGCGGUAACAC